rnacentral:rRNA from 1 species
UGCCAGCAGCCGCGGUAAUACGGAGGGUGCAAGCGUUAAUCGGAAUUACUGGGCGUAGAGCGCGCGUAGGCGGCUAUAUAAGUCGGAUGUGAAAGCCCUGGGCUCAACCUGGGAACUGCAUUCGAUACUGUAUAGCUAGAGUUUGGUAGAGGGAAGUGGAAUUCCACAUGUAGCGGUGAAAUGCGUAGAUAUGUGGAGGAACACCAGUGGCGAAGGCGACUUCCUGGACCAGAACUGACGCUGAGGUGCGAAAGCGUGGGUAGCAAACAGGAUUAGAUACCCUGGUAGUCCACGCCGUAAACGAUGUCAACUAGCCGUUGGGGGAAUUUGUCCCUUAGUGGCGCAGCUAACGCGAUAAGUUGACCGCCUGGGGAGUACGGUCGCAAGAUUAAAACUUAAAGGAAUUGACGG